rnacentral:tRNA from 1 species
UGAUAGCUCAGUUGGUUAGAGUGUGGUGCUGAUAACACCAAAGUUUCAGGUUUGAUCCCUGCAUGGGACAG